rnacentral:lncRNA from 1 species
UGCGGGCGCGGUGGAGCCCGGGGCCGGCCUGCUCUCUGUUUUAAAUAUACACCGUGGGCUGCGGGCGCGGUGGAGCCCGGGGACGGCCUGGUGUCCGGGGCCGAGGUGACACCGUGGGCUGGGGGGGCGGUGGAGCCCGGGGCCGGCCUGGUGUCCGGGGCCGAGGUGACACCGUGGGCUGGGGGGGCGGUGGAGCCCGGGGCCGGCCUGGUGUCCGGGGCCGAGGUGACACCGUGGGCUGGGGGGGCGGUGGAGCCCGGGGCCGGCCUGGUGUCCGGGGCCGAGGUGACACCGUGGGCUGGGGGGGCGGUGGAGCCCGGGGCCGGCCUGGUGUCCGGGGCCGAGGUGACACCGUGGGCUGGGGGGGCGGUGGAGCCCGGGGCCGGCCUGCUCUCCGGGGCCGAGGUGACACCGUGGGCUGCGGGCGCGGUGGAGCCCGGGGCCGGCCUGCUCUCCGGGGCCGAGGUGACACCGUGGGCUGCGGGCGCGGUGGAGCCCGGGUCCG